rnacentral:precursor_RNA from 9 species
AUUGGUUUUCACUAUAAUGCGUAUGCAAUUAUUUGGCACUUGUGGAAUAAUCGGUAUAAAUAACAAGAUUAUACACCGGUGCCAAAUAACCGGUGGCGCUAAAUCAUCUAUACCAGAAG